rnacentral:rRNA from 1 species
UUAACUGACGCUAAAGCUCGAAAGUGCGGGUAUCGAACAGGAUUAGAUACCCUGGUAGUCCGCACGGUAAACGAUGGAUGCCCGCUGUUUGCGAUAUAUUGUAAGCGGCCAAGCGAAAGCGUUAAGCAUCCCACCUGGGGAGUACGCCGGCAACGGUGAAACUCAAAGGAAUUGACGGGGGCCCGCACAAGCGGAGGAACAUGUGGUUUAAUUCGAUGAUACGCGAGGAACCUUACCCGGGCUUGAACUGCCGGCGAACGAUACAGAGAUGUUGAGGCCCUUCGGGGCGCCGGUGGAGGUGCUGCAUGGUUGUCGUCAGCUCGUGUCGUGAGGUGUCGGCUUAAGUGCCAUAACGAGCGCAACCCCUUUCUUCAGUUGCCAUCAGGUGAUGCUGGGCACUUUGGAGACACUGCCACCGUAAGGUGUGAGGAAGGUGGGGAUGACGUCAAAUCAGCACGGCCCUUACGUCCGGGGCUACACACGUGUUACAAUGGGUGAUACAGAGAGUUGGGUGCCGGCAACGUCGCUCUAAUCUUCAAAGUCAUCCUCAGUUCGGAUUGGGGUCUGCAACCCGACCCCAUGAAGCUGGAUUCGCUAGUAA